rnacentral:rRNA from 1 species
GCAGCAGCCGCGGUAAUACGUAGGUGGCAAGCGUUGUCCGGAAUUAUUGGGCGUAAAGGGCUCGCAGGCGGUUUCUUAAGUCUGAUGUGAAAGCCCCCGGCUCAACCGGGGAGGGUCAUUGGAAACUGGGAAACUUGAGUGCAGAAGAGGAGAGUGGAAUUCCACGUGUAGCGGUGAAAUGCGUAGAGAUGUGGAGGAACACCAGUGGCGAAGGCGACCCUCUGGUCUGUAACUGACACUGAGAGGCGAAAGCUAGGGGAGCAAAUGGGAUUAGAUACCCGCGUAGUCCCUGUCUCUUAUAC